rnacentral:rRNA from 1 species
GACGAACGCUGGUGGCGUGCUUAACACAUGCAAGUCGAACGGAGUGGCGAAAGGGUGAGUAACAAGUGGGUGACCUGCCCUGCACUUCGGGAUAAGCCUGGGAAACUGGGUCUAAUACCGGAAAGUGUGGGAUGGGCCCGGGGCCUAUCAGCUUGUUGGGGGGGUAAUGGCCUGCCAGUGCGGCGACGGGUAGCCGGCCGUAGAGGGUGGACGGCCACAUUGGGCCUGAGACACGGCCCAGACUCCUACUGGAGGCAGCAGUGGGGAAUAUUGCACAAUGGGCGGCAGCCUGAUGCAGCGACGCCGCGUGGGGGAUGACGGCCUUCGGGUUGUAAACUCCUUUCACCAUCGACGCGGUAGAUGGAGAAGAAGCACCGGCUAACUACGUGCCAGCAGCCGCGGUAAUAC